rnacentral:sRNA from 1 species
GUCGGGCAUGGUGGUGCAGGCCUGUAAUCCCUGUGACUUGGAAGGCUGAGGCAAGAGUAUCAUGAGUUUAAAGUCAGCCUCAGCAACUUAUCAAGGUCUUAAGCAACUUAGUGAGACCCUGUCUCAA